rnacentral:rRNA from 1 species
AGCGAACGCUGGCGGCAGGCCUAACACAUGCAAGUCGAACGCUGUAGCAAUACAGAGUGGCAGACGGGUGAGUAACGCGUGGGAACGUGCCUUUCGGUUCGGAAUAACUCAGGGAAACUUGAGCUAAUACCGGAUACGCCCUUCGGGGGAAAGAUUUAUUGCCGAAAGAUCGGCCCGCGUCCGAUUAGCUAGUUGGUGUGGUAAUGGCGCACCAAGGCGACGAUCGGUAGCUGGUCUGAGAGGAUGAUCAGCCACACUGGGACUGAGACACGGCCCAGACUCCUACGGGAGGCAGCAGUGGGGAAUAUUGGACAAUGGGCGCAAGCCUGAUCCAGCCAUGCCGCGUGAGUGAUGAAGGCCCUAGGGUUGUAAAGCUCUUUCGCCAGGGACGAUAAUGACGGUACCUGGAUAAGAAGCCCCGGCUAACUUCGUGCCAGCCGCCGCCGUAAAAC